AUUCAGCAUGAGAGAGAGCAGCCAUUCAAAGCGCAUCUUUGAAAUGGGAAGAAGAAAGGUAACGGGAAAAAAGGAUGGAUCAGUGGUGUCUCUCACUUUGACUACAAAAGAGUGAAGGAGGAAAAACUUCAUUAUACGGGCGAGUGACAGAAAGUGUGGCGCACGACGACAGAGAGACACACAGAACGAGGGGGGCUUUUUUUCCUCUCUGCCCACCUCUGUUUCAUGUCUGUGUCGCUGAAAAAAACAAAGAAGGCAUCUCUGUGGACCGCUCUAUCCAGAGCACAGACACACACACACGACCCC
ensembl:lncRNA